GUGCUUGCUUUGGCAACACAUACAUUAAAACUGGAACGAUACAGAAAUCAGCAUGACCCCUACAUAAGGAUGACAUGCAAAUUCAUAAAGUGUUCCAUAUUUUU
rnacentral:snRNA from 1 species